rnacentral:rRNA from 1 species
UUCCCUUCUCUUCCGCCCCAGCAUCGGCGGCUCUAGCGAGCUGCUAAAGCCGCGCCCCCCGACGCCAUAAUCCCUGAACGAUCCCCAGAGCAGAGCCAUCCUCUCUCUCCUCGGGAGCCCUCACAAGCGAGAGGCGAGAGACCAGAGAUGGGCGGCGGCAACUGCAACCCCAAGGACUUCGGCGCCGCCGCCUACUGGGAGGCCCGCUACUCCUCUCCCUCCACUGGCGGCAAGGGCGGCGGCGGUGGCGGGUUCUUCGACUGGUACCAGUCGUACUCGGCGCUCCGCCCCCUCCUCCGCGCCUGCGUGCCCACUUCCUCCCGGGUCCUCAUGCUCGGCUGCGGCAACUCCCUUCUGUCGGAGGACAUGGUAAAGGAUGGUUACCAGAACAUAGUAAACAUAGACAUCUCAUCAGUUGUAAUCGAGCAGAUGAAAGAGAAGCACAUGGAUAUCCCACGGCUUACAUAUAUGCAGUUGGAUGUCAGAGAUAUGAGCUUCUUUGGAGAUGGAUCAUUUGAUUGUAUCAUCGACAAAGGAACUUUGGAUGCUAUGAUGUGUGGCGAUGAUGCCCCUCAUGGUGCUUACAAAAUGCUAGCAGAAGUGGCAAGGCUUAUGAGGCCUGGUGGGAUUUACAUGUUGAUAACAUAUGGUGCCCCUAAGGAACGCCUGACACUUCUGAAUCAAGUCCAAUGCUGUUGGGAAGUUGAGCUUUACAUUAUGCCCACACCUGAAUACCAGCUGAAAUGGAGCAACGGUGCUGCACACGCCAUGAUGGAGAAAGUUGCACUGACAGUGGAUCGCCAACUGCCACCUGACUACGUUCUCAAGGAUCCAGAGUCACAUUUCAUUUAUGUUUGUUACAAGUCAGAUAUAGUGACUGAAGAUAAUUCCAUGGUUGCUGGUCAAGAUGAUGCCAUGACUUCAUUUUAAUAGAGUCCGACCACAAUUACCGAAUUAAUUAUUGCCAUGACUUCAAAAUGAUUUGCUUCUCAUCCUUGGUCUGAAUGGUAGAUUGUUACCGUUGAUUAUGAAAACUCAUACCCUUUUGUGCCAUUAUCUGGCGUGAGUAAGAGUGAUGAGUGUGCUUUGUGGAAGUUGGAGGAUUUAAGAAAUAUAGUUGUUGUGUGUUUCUAUCUGCCAUUACUUAGUAAGUGAACCUGUGGAGUUCUAUUUAGUUCGCUUGGAAUGAGUAAAUUUCGUUUCUCUG